AUGAGGGCCAGUCUCUGGACUGGAGUGAGAACAAGAGAAACUUCAACCAGAAGAAGAAUUUCUAUCAUGCUCUACCCUGGCCUGCUGUGGGCAUUCAUAGCCUCCUUUGGCUUCAGAUCCAGCACGGCUGAGAAAGUCAUCCAGACCCGGAGUGCAGUAGCAAUGCAGGAAGGACAAGUGGCCACCAUUUUCUGCAAAAAGAAGUCUCUAACUUUUGAAGUUAUAUUGUUUAGUAUAGCUCUUGAGGUGUGCUUGCUGUGGCUGGGAAUAUGGAUAGGAAUUCUCUGCUUCCUUUUGCCAUCCAGGGCUCAACAUAGGUUUCUUAGAUUAAAGGACAUUUCAUACCAACUCAAUGGAACAUCAAGCCACAAAUUGGUGGUGGAUUUUGCCUUAUACCACAAACGCAAGAUAAAUAAUCUCCUUGGGGAUGAUUUUGCUCAUUCAGAUUCACUCAGACGUGGCUUAUUUGAGUUUGAACCUUGAAAAGGAUCUCA
rnacentral:lncRNA from 1 species